AGAUUGAACGCUAGCGGGAUGCUUUACACAUGCAAGGCGAACGGCAGCGCGGACUUCGGUCUGGCGGCGAGUGGCGAACGGGUGAGUAAUAUAUCGGAACGUGCCCAGUAGCGGGGGAUAACUACGCGAAAGCGUGGCUAAUACCGCAUACGCCCUACGGGGGAAAGGGGGGGAUUCUUCGGAACCUCUCACUAUUGGAGCGGCCGAUAUCAGAUUAGCUAGUUGGUGAGGUAAAGCUCACCAAGGCGACGAUCUGUAGCUGGUUUGAGAGGACGACCAGCCACACUGGGACUGAGGCACGGCCCAGACUCCUACGGGAGCAGCAGUGGGAAUUUGGACAAGUCGGGGAAACCUGACUCCAGCCAUCCCGCGUGUGCGAUGAAGGUCCGUUCGGGUUAGUAAAGCGUAACGUUUGGACGAAGG
rnacentral:rRNA from 1 species